UUUAGAUUUCAUAAGUAAAUCUCAUUUCCCCAAAUAACAGACAAAUCACUUAAGGGUUUGAUCCAUGUAUAUAUUUUUUUCUGACAGGAACAUGUGGAUAUGAAGGGAGCACCAAAUAAAUGCAACUUAACUGAGAAACAUCAGAAAAUUAUUUUCAUUUUUCUUCUAAUUGCUUAUCUCUCAGCUAUCAAAUCUGCUAUUGCUCCUAUAUUUCUUGCUUAAUUUAUAGAAACCAUAUUCUGCCAGGCACCUGAUUUAAAAUUCUCAGAACUCUCUUGUAUUCCAUCCAUUCCCUCAGAACCAAAAUGAGUCUUGUCAUCAAUUGCAAUAGAUUAUACUUAUGAUUUCUUUCUUCCAUUUCCUCAUGUCUAGUUCAGUCCUCUCUUCUCUUUCCUGGACGUUAUAACAACUUCGUAAGGUGUCUUCUUGUUGCUAGUCUCUGGAUUCUGUCUUACCCAGGGAUCUUGUAGCAACAUUAUUUUAAAACACUACCUUAUUCAAAAACAGGCAUCUGUAGUGAGAAAAACAGCAUAUAAGGCACAGCCUUUGUCCUCAAGGACUUUAAAUAACGUGAAGGAGAUAAACCUAUGUACAGCUAACUGUAAUCAAAGGUAGAGUUUAAUAACAGUAACACUAGGAUAUAAGCAGAGUUCUAUGGGAACACAGGAGAAGGACAGAUGAGUGAUUAAGACGAGGUUUUAUUCAUUCAAUUUACAAAUAUGUACUGACCAUUUAGUGCUGGGUACUUUUAGGUGCUGGAUAUGCAAUAUUGAACAAACCAGACAUGGAUCAUUCUUUGAUUGGGUUUAUGGUCCAGUGGUGGAGAUACAUGAUUAACAGGUAAACCAAAAUAUUACAUAACAACAAGCUACAUUCAAUUGUAGGCAAAGAUCAGGGUGCCAUGAAAGAGAGUAACAGAAAGGUCCCAGACUUUAUGUGGUCAUUUUGAAAUGAAAAGGAACUUAGGUGGGAAGAUAGGGGAAAAUAUUCUAGGCAAAUAUCCUUGUCUUUUAUUCUACUGAGAAAAUAGAAACCAAAAGUCAUGAGUACUCUUCACUUCCCAUUCCCAUACCUUAAACAUUACUGUUGAGACCAACUGAUGGGAGGGACGGGAGGCAAACAAGAUGACGCAGACACAGGGCACCCGGAGGAAAGUCUGUUAUUACUACAACGGGGAUGUUGGAAAUUACUAUUAUAGACAAGACCAUCCAAUGAAGCCUCACCAAAUCUACUACUCACAAUUUGCUGCCCAACUGUGGUCUCCACUGAAAAAUAGAAAUCUGUCAUCCUCACAAACCCAGUACUGAGGAGAUGACCAAGUACCACGGAGAUGAUUACAUUAAAUUCUUGCACUCCAUCCGUUCAGAUUACAUGUUCGAGCACAGCAAGCAGAUGCAGAUUCAACAUCGGCAAGGACUGUCCAGUAUUCGAUGGCCUGUUUGAAUUCUUGCAGUUGUCUACUGGUGGCUCUGUGGCAAGUGCUGUCAAACUUAAUAAGCAGCAGAUAGACAUCGCUGUGAAUUGGGCUGGGGGCCUGAACCAUGCGAAGAAGCCUGAGGCAUCUGGCUUCUAUUACAUUAAUGACAUUGUCUUGGCCAUCCUGGAACUGCUAACCUAUCACCAGAGGGUGCUGUGUAUUGACAUUGAUAUUCACCAUGGCGAUGGGAUGGAAGAGGCCUUCUAUACCACAGACUGGGUCGUGACUAUGUCUUCUCCUAAGUAUGGAGAGAACUUUUCAGGAACUAGGGAUCUACAGGAUAUUGGGGCUGGCAAAGGCAAGUAUUAUGCUGUUAACUACCUGCUCCAAGAUGGGAUUGACGGCAAGUCCUGUGAGGCCAUUUUCAAGCUGGUCACGUUCAAAGUAAUGGAGAUGUUCCAGUCUAGUGCAGUGCUCUUACAGUGUGGCUCAGACUCCUUAUCUGGGGACUGGUUAGGUUGCUUCAAUCUGAUCAUCAAAGCACAUGCCGGCCUAGGGUGGCGGGGGCAUGCCAAGUGUAUGGAAUUUGUCAGGAGCUUUAACCUGCCUAUGCUGAUGCUGGGAGGAAGUGUUUCCAUCAUUUGUAAUGUUGCCUAGUGCUGGACAUAUGAGACAGGUGUGGCCGUGGAUACAGAGAUCCCUAAUGAGCUUCCAUACAGUGACUACUUGGAAUAGUUUGGACCCGAUUUCAAGCUCCACAUCAGUCUUUCCAGUAUGACUAACCAGAACACGAAUAGUACUUGGAGAAGAUAAACAGCGACUGUUUGAGAACCUGAGAAUGCUGCCCCACACACCUGGGUCCAAAUGCAGGUGAUUCCAGAGGAGCCAUCCCGGAGGAGAGUGGCGAUGAGAGCGAAGAAGACCCUGACAAAUGCCUCUCAAUCUGCUCCUCUGACGAACGAAUUGCCUGUGAGAAAGAGUUCUCUGACUCUGAUGAGGUGGGAGAGGGUGGCCACAAGAACUCUUCCAACUUCAAAAAAGCCGAGAGUCAAAACAGGAUGAAAAAGAGAAAGACCUAGAUGAGAAGAGCGAAGUCACCGAAGAGGAGAAAACCAAGGAGGAGAAGCCAGAAGCCAAGGGGGUCAAGGAGGAGGUCAGGUUGGCCUGAACAGACCUCUCCAGCUCUGGCUUCUUCCCAAGUCCCCUGCCUUUCUCCACCAACACCUCAGAUUUUAUACUUUCUAUUUCUCUGUGUAUUUAUAGGAAAGUUUAUUAAAUAUAAAUAUCCCCAGGGACUAGACAGAAACCAAAGCCCUGAGCCCAGGGCAGCUAUGCUGGGUGAACUCUUCUAGGAGCUGCCUUGCCACCCAUCCUUCCAUCCUUCCCCAGUUCUUAACUU